UACAGAGGUCUCAAGCGUUGUUCGGAUUCAUUGGGCGUAAAGGGUGUGUAGGUGGCGCCGUAAGUCGGGGUGUGAAAUUUCGGAGCUUAACUCCGAAACUGCAUUCGAUACUGCGGUGCUUGAGGACUGGAGAGGAGACUGGAAUUCAUGGUGUAGCAGUGAAAAUGCGUAGAGAUCAUGAGGAAGACCAGUGGCGAAGGCGGGUCUCUGGACAGUUCCUGACACUGAGACACGAAGGCCAGGGGAGCAAACGGG
rnacentral:rRNA from 1 species